rnacentral:rRNA from 1 species
UACGGAGGGUGCGAGCGUUAAUCGGAAUUACUGGGCGUAAAGCGCAUGUAGGCUGUACGGCAAGUUAGGGGUGAAAUCCCAGGGCUCAACCUUGGAACUGCCUCUAAAACUACCGGACUGGAGUGCGGAAGAGGGCAGCGGAAUUCCAGGUGUAGGAGUGAAAUCCGUAGAUAUCUGGAAGAACAUCAGCGGCGAAGGCGGCUGCCUGGUCCGUAACUGACGCUCAGAUGCGAAAGCGUGGGGAGCAAAC